rnacentral:rRNA from 1 species
UACGAAGGGGGCUAGCGUUGCUCGGAAUCACUGGGCGUAAAGCGCACGUAGGCGGCUUUUUAAGUCAGGGGUGAAAUCCUGGAGCUCAACUCCAGAACUGCCUUUGAUACUGGGAAGCUCGAGUCCGGAAGAGGUGAGUGGAACUGCGAGUGUAGAGAUGAAAUUCGUAGAUAUUCGCAAGAACACCAGUGGCGAAGGCGGCUCACUGGUCCGGUACUGACGCUGAGGUGCGAAAGCGUGGGGAGCAAACAGG